GACGAACGCUGGCGGCGUGCUUAACACAUGCAAGUCGAACGAAGAGCGAUGGAAGCUUGCUUCUAUCAAUCUUAGUGGCGAACGGGUGAGUAACGCGUAAUCAACCUGCCCUUCAGAGGGGGACAACAGUUGGAAACGACUGCUAAUACCGCAUACGAUCUAAUCUCGGCAUCGAGGAUAGAUGAAAGGUGGCCUCUACAUGUAAGCUAUCACUGAAGGAGGGGAUUGCGUCUGAUUAGCUAGUUGGAGGGGUAACGGCCCACCAAGGCGAUGAUCAGUAGCCGGUCUGAGAGGAUGAACGGCCACAUUGGGACUGAGACACGGCCCAGACUCCUACGGGAGGCAGCAGUGGGGAAUCUUCCGCAAUGGACGAAAGUCUGACGGAGCAACGCCGCGUGAGUGAUGACGGCCUUCGGGUUGUAAAGCUCUGUUAAUCGGGACGAAAGGCCUUCUUGCGAAUAGUGAGAAGGAUUGACGGUACCCG
rnacentral:rRNA from 1 species